UGGGGAAUAUUGCACAAUGGGCGCAAGCCUGAUGCAGCCAUGCCGCGUGUAUGAAGAAGGCCUUCGGGUUGUAAAGUACUUUCAGCGGGGAGGAAGGGAGUAAAGGUAAUACCUGUGCUCAUUGACGUAACCCGCAGAAGAAGCACCGGCUAACUCCGUGCCAGCAGCCGCGGUAAUACGGAGGGUGCAAGCGUUAAUCGGAAUUACUGGGCGUAAAGCGCACGCAGGCGGUUUGUUAAGUCAGAUGUGAAAUCCUCGGGCUCAACCUGGGAACUGCAUCUGAUACUGGCAAGCUUGAGUCUCGUAGAGGGGGGUAGAAUUCCAGGUGUAGCGGUGAAAUGCGUAGAGAUCUGGAGGAAUACCGGUGGCGAAGGCGGCCCCCUGGACGAAGACUGACGCUCAGGUGCGAAAGCGUGGGGAGCAAACAGG
rnacentral:rRNA from 1 species